AUGCCAACCAUUCCUUCCUGGAUGGCUGUUCCACCUGCCAGGCCCCCACCCAGUACUGACCCAUGGAAAACCCCCCAGAGGCACUGCAGGCCCUGCUUGCAGCUCUGCAGGGGCAGAGUGGGCAGCACUGGGCUCAUGCUGCAAGAUCCACCCCAACGAGUCCUUUACCUGCCUCUGGCACCAUCCCAGCAGCUUCCCACUGCUCAACAGCACCAAACAAACUGUGGGAGCAGAGAGAGCAACAAACAGCGGCAGCACAGCAUCCCAGCCAGGCUCCAGGUGCCAACACAAACCUUCCAUCAGCUCCACCUGGGAGACACAGAACCAAACCCCCUGGGGUCACUCCUGUGCUGUCCCUGCAGCUGUAGCAUCAUCCUGCCAACCCCUGCCCAGCAGUGUCAGCAAUCAGCCACAGCCGCACGAGGGACCUGCCCUGGCCCGGUGGAGCUGCAGGGGCUCCCUGCAGGCACAGGAGGAGCCCCGGAGCCCUCUCGGGUCACCAGCACAGCCCCUGGGCCAGUGCUCUGCCAAAGGGGCUCCCAGGGAGCUUUGGGAGCUCCCUCCAGCGCCGAGGCAGCUCUGGGAAGGGCACAGGAACUGCCACCAGAGCUGCGACCGGGGCACCACAAACCAAUGCAGGCACGUCCAGCACAGCUCCUGCCCAGGCUCCCUGACCUGAAUGAAAGCACAAACGGGGACACAGGCAGGGCUGGAGCAGGAGCAGGGGCUCAGGCAGGCAGGCAGUGGUGUCAGUCAAACAAUGCUCCUCACCCCAAACACCUCUGGGGCUCCUUGGCCAAAAGCUGCAGAGCCCAGGACUGGAACAGAGCGGGUAAACGAUCUCCAGCCAGGUCAGUGCAAACCCAGGGACCCAGGUGGGAGCCCCAACACUUCUGCAGUGCAGAAUCACUCAGGUUCUUCAGGACAGCUUUAAGCCACUUUCCUGCCCAAGUCCUGACACUGCUACAAACUUUGUUUAACUUUAAAUACCUUUUAAAAGGAUUUAAGAACUCGUAA
rnacentral:lncRNA from 1 species